rnacentral:rRNA from 1 species
AUUGAACACUGGCGGCAUGCUUUACACAUGCAAGUCGAACGGUAACAGGCCGCAAGGUGCUGACGAGUGGCGAACGGGUGAGUAAUGCAUCGGAACGUGCCCAGUCGUGGGGGAUAACGCAGCGAAAGCUGCGCUAAUACCGCAUACGAUCUCUGGAUGAAAGCGGGGACCGAAAGGCCUCGCGGGAGUGGAGCGGCCGAUGUCAGAUUAGGUAGUUGGUGAGGUAAAGGCUCACCAAGCCAACGAUCUGUAGCUGGUCUGAGAGGACGACCAGCCACACUGGGACUGAGACACGGCCCAGACUCCUACGGGAGGCAGCAGUGGGGAAUUUUGGACAAUGGGCGCAAGCCUGAUCCAGCAAUGCCGCGUGCAGGAAGAAGGCCUUCGGGUUGUAAACUGCUUUUGUACGGAACGAAACGGUCCUGGUUAAUACCUGGGGCUAAUGACGGUACCGUAAGAAUAAGCACCGGCUAACUACGUGCCAGCCGCCGCGGUAACAC